CAGUCGCCGCGGGAAUACGUAGGUGGCUAGCGUUGCUCGGAAUUACUGGGCGUAAAGGGAGCGUAGGCGGAUCGUUUAGUCAGGGGUGAAAUCCCGGGGCUCAACCUCGGAACUGCCUUUGAUACUGGCGAUCUUGAGUAUGGGAGAGGUGUGUGGAACUCCGAGUGUAGAGGUGAAAUUCGUAGAUAUUCGGAAGAACACCAGUGGCGAAGGCGACACACUGGCCCAUUACUGACGCUGAGGCUCGAAAGCGUGGGGAGCAAACAGGAUUAGAUACCCCAGUAGUCCCUGUCUCUUAUAC
rnacentral:rRNA from 1 species